rnacentral:pre_miRNA from 9 species
UCUCGAUAGCGUAAAAGUUAACUCAUAUUUGUAUAGAAUGGGAUCGUUUGCUUGCGUUUGCCGCUAGGGGCGCUGUUCCAACUGUAUACAAAAUUGGGUUAACUUUUACGCUAUCGA